CCUAAUACAAUUUGUAGAAGGAUGAAUUCAGUAGGAACAAGCCAAAAUCCUUUCUUAACAGUUUGUAGAAGGAUGAAUUCAGUUGGAACAAACCAAACAACAUCCCUACGCAGUAUGUAGAUGGAGAAGGACGAAUUCGGUAGGACCAAACAAAACUCUUUCAUUGCAAAGUUUUUAGAAGGAUGAAUUCAGUAGGAACAAGCCAAAAUCCUUUCUUAACAGUUUGUAGAAGGAUGAAUUCAGUUGGAACAAACCAAACAACAUCCCUACGCAGUAUGUAGAUGGAGAAGGACGAAUUCGGUAGGACCAAACAAAACUCUUUCAUUGCAAAGUUUUUAGAAGGAUGAAUUCAGUAGGAACAAGCCAAAAUCCUUUCUUAACAGUUUGUAGAAGGAUGAAUUCAGUUGGAACAAACCAAACAACAUCCCUACGCAGUAUGUAGAUGGAGAAGGACGAAUUCGGUAGGACCAAACAAAACUCUUUCAUUGCAAAGUUUGU